rnacentral:misc_RNA from 1 species
AACCUAGCACACCUGCGGUGUGUACCUGCGGAAGGAUCAUUAACCUCUCAAAUCAGGGUGCGGCGCGGCCCCCGAGGAGCGGAAACAAUCCUUGGGAGGUAUGCGGGGGCUUCGAGCCCCCCAUUUACGCACGCACGACUGCCAUCCUUACUUUACGAGCACCUUCUGUUCUCCCUCGGCGGGGCAACCUGCCGUUGGAACCGAAUAAACUCUUUUUGCAUCUAGCAUUACCUGUUCCGA